UGGGGUAUAGCCAAGCGGAAAGGCACCAGGUUUUGAUCCUGGCAUCCCUGGUUCGAAUCCAGGUACCCCAG
rfam:Candidatus Riesia pediculicola TSDA, complete genome.